CCUACGGGUGGCAGCAGUGGGGAAUAUUGCACAAUGGGCGAAAGUCUGAUGCAGCAACGCCGCGUGAGCGAUGAAGGCCUUCGGGUUGUAAAGCUCUGUCCUCAAGGAAGAUAAUGACGGUACUUGAGAAGGAAGCCCCGGCUAACUACGUGCCAGCAGCCGCGGUAAUACGUAGGGGGCUAGCGUUAUCCGGAUUUACUGGGCGUAAAGGGUGAGUAGGUGGAUACCUAAGUCAGAGGUGAAAGGCCACGGCUAAACCUUGGUAAGCCUUUGAAACUGGGUAACUUGAGUGCAGGAGAGGCAAGUGGAAUUCCUAGUGUAGCGGUGAAAUGCGUAGAUAUUAGGAGGAACACCAGUGGCGAAGGCGGCUCUCUGGACUGUAACUGACACUGAGGCACGAAAGCGUGGGGAGCAAACAGGAUUAGAUACCCGUGUAGUC
rnacentral:rRNA from 1 species